GCACAAGCAGCGGAGCGUGUGGUUUAAUUCGAUGUUACACGAAGAACCUUUACCAGGGUUUGACAUGCAAGUGGUAGGAAGCCGAAAGGUGACCGACCCUUCGGGGAGCUUGCACAGGUGCUGCAUGGCUGUCGUCAGCUCGUGUCGUGAGAUGUUCGGUUAAGUCCGCUAACGAGCGCAACCCUCGCUGUGUGUUAUAUGUGUCACACGGGACUGCCGGUCUUAAGCCGGAGGAAGGUGGGGAUGAUGUCAAGUCAGCAUGGCCUUUAUAUCCUGGGCUACACACACGCUACAAUGGCCAACACAAUAGGUUGCUAAGCCGCGAGGUGGAGCCAAUCCACAAAGCCGGUCUCAGUUCAGAUUGCAGGCUGCAACCCGCCUGCAUGAAGAUGGAGUUGCUAGUAACCGCAGGUCAGCUAUACUGCGGUGAAUACGUUCCCGGGGCUU
rnacentral:rRNA from 1 species